rnacentral:rRNA from 1 species
UGGGGAAUAUUGGACAAUGGGCGCAAGCCUGAUCCAGCCAUGCCGCGUGAGUGACGAAGGUCUUCGGAUUGUAAAGCACUUUAAGUUGGGAGGAAGGGCAGUAAGCUAAUACCUUGCUGUUUUGACGUUACCGACAGAAUAAGCACCGGCUAACUCUGUGCCAGCAGCCGCGGUAAUACAGAGGGUGCAAGCGUUAAUCGGAAUUACUGGGCGUAAAGCGCGCGUAGGUGGUUUGUUAAGUUGGAUGUGAAAGCCCCGGGCUCAACCUGGGAACUGCAUCCAAAACUGGCAAGCUAGAGUACGGUAGAGGGUGGUGGAAUUUCCUGUGUAGCGGUGAAAUGCGUAGAUAUAGGAAGGAACACCAGUGGCGAAGGCGACCACCUGGACUGAUACUGACACUGAGGUGCGAAAGCGUGGGGAGCAAACAGGAUUAGAUACCCCCGUAGUCCCUGAGCGGGCUGGCAAGGCGCAU